UACAGAGGUCCCAAGCGUUGUUCGGAUUCAUUGGGCGUAAAGGGUGCGUAGGCGGCGCGGUAAGUCGGGUGUGAAAUCUCGGGGCUUAACUCCGAAACUGCAUUCGAUACUGCCGUGCUUGAGGACUGGAGAGGAGACUGGAAUUUACGGUGUAGCGGUGAAAUGCGUAGAUAUCGUAAGGAAGACCAGUGGCGAAGGCGGGUCUCUGGACAGUUCCUGACGCUGAGGAACGAAAGCCGGUAGGGACGCAAACGG
rnacentral:rRNA from 1 species